GGAAUCUUGCGCAAUGGGCGAAAGCCUGACGCAGCCAUGCCGCGUGAAUGAUGAAGGUCUUAGGAUUGUAAAAUUCUUUCACCGGGGACGAUAAUGACGGUACCCGGAGAAGAAGCCCCGGCUAACUUCGUGCCAGCAGCCGCGGUAAUACGAAGGGGGCUAGCGUUGCUCGGAAUUACUGGGCGUAAAGGGCGCGUAGGCGGAUCGUUAAGUCAGAGGUGAAAUCCCAGGGCUCAACCCUGGAACUGCCUUUGAUACUGGCGAUCUUGAGUAUGAGAGAGGUAUGUGGAACUCCGAGUGUAGAGGUGAAAUUCGUAGAUAUUCGGAAGAACACCAGUGGCGAAGGCGACAUACUGGCUCAUUACUGACGCUGAGGCGCGAAAGCGUGGGGAGCAAACAGG
rnacentral:rRNA from 1 species